CUGGAAAAUCGGAUGGCCGCUGCGUCCCUUGCGGGCGGAGAGGAAAGUCCGGGCUUCACGGAAAAACGGCGCCGGGUAACGCCCGGGCAGGGUAACCUGACGGAAAGUGCUGAAGAAAUUCAAACCGCCGAUGGCCCGAGAGGGCACAGGUAAGGGUGAGAAGGUGCGGUAAGAGCGCACCGCGCGUCUGGCAACAGAGGCGGCAUGGUAAACCCCGCCGGAAGCAAAACCAAAUAGGCGCUCCGCUAUGGUGCUUUUCCGCACCGGAGCGCGGGUCGGUUGCUCGAGGUGUUUGGUAACAAGCGCCCUAGAUGAAUGGCCAUCUCCGAUUUAUCGGAACAGAACCCGGCUUACAGAUUUUCCAGCCUG
rnacentral:RNase_P_RNA from 1 species